UGUAUGUGUGUGUUUGUGUGUAUAUGUGUGUGUGUGAGAGAGAGAGAGUCAUGUCACUGGUGGUGUUCCUGAGCCAUGUUCCUGGCUGGUUCCUGUGUGUUGGAGUCUUUGUACCUGUUAGUCUUCUGCUGCUGCUGGUUACGCUGUACCUAAACCUGAGCCUACACCGAGUGGAGCUCGAGUUGCUGGAGGUCCAGGACCCACGGGUGACGGCACGUCAGCUCUACUCCGAUCAGCAACACAAAUACAAACAUGAGAGCUAACAGACACACACACACACACACACACACACACACACACACACAGCUGGGGAUUCACAGGAACAGGAGCUUCUCUGAAAGUAGGACACAACCUGAGGACCUGUGUGAGAAAAACACUGAGUUCUGGAAAUGGCUCUCUCUCACACACACACACACACACACACACACACGACUCAGCUCAGUAAUGAACUCUUUCAAGCCACAGCGCUGCCCAUUCCUGGAUCCUGAUUGGUCAGGAGGUGUUGCUUUUUUAUUCCCCCCAGUCACAUGAUUAUAUUGUCCUCAUUUCUAUAGUAACCCAUCAAAGGAAGGAGUCUCCAGUGUCAAAAGGAGCUGCGAGGGUACGGGUUAACGUAGCUAGAAAUGGAUAAGAAGUACAGACAAUGUUAUGUAUUUGAAUAAAGUUUGAACCUGG